rnacentral:rRNA from 1 species
UACGUAGGGACCGAGCGUUGUCCGGAAUCAUUGGGCGUAAAGAGCGUGUAGGCGGCUUGCUAAGUCUUGCGUGAAAUCUCGGGGCUCAACCCCGAGCGGUCGUGGGAAACUGGCAGGCUAGAGUGCGGGAGAGGAGAAUGGAAUUCCUGGUGUAGCGGUGAAAUACGCAGAUAUCAGGAAGAACACCCGUGGCGAAGGCGGUUCUCUGGAACGCAACUGACGCUGAGACGCGAAAGCGUGGGGAGCAAACAGG